UACGUAGGGGGCAAGCGUUGUCCGGAAUCAUUGGGCGUAAAGCGCACGUAGGCGAAUCUUUAAGUCAGGGGUGAAAUCCCGGAGCUCAACUCCGGAACUGCCUUUGAUACUGGAGAUCUUGAGUCCGGGAGAGGUGAGUGGAACUGCGAGUGUAGAGGUGAAAUUCGUAGAUAUUCGCAAGAACACCAGUGGCGAAGGCGGCUCACUGGCCCGGUACUGACGCUGAGGUGCGAAAGCGUGGGGAGCAAACAGG
rnacentral:rRNA from 1 species